rnacentral:rRNA from 1 species
CAGUAGCCACGGUAAUACGUAGGUGGCAAGCGUUGUCCGGAAUUAUUGGGCGUAAAGGGCUCGCAGGCGGUUUCUUAAGUCUGAUGUGAAAGCCCCCGGCUCAACCGGGGAGGGUCAUUGGAAACUGGGAAACUUGAGUGCAGGAGAGGAGAGUGGAAUUCCACGUGUAGCGGUGAAAUGCGUAGAGAUGUGGAGGAACACCAGUGGCGAAGGCGACUCUCUGGUCUGUAACUGACGCUGAGGAGCGAAAGCGUGGGGAGCGAACAGGAUUAGAUACCCCCGUAGUCCCUGUCUCUUAUAC